ACUGAAUGCACGGUUGGGGGAAAUGAUUACAUACUGGAACAUGAAUUGGGAGAUUUCCUUGGUCAUGGAAUCCCAGACUUGAAUGCUGAUGAGGUCCAUGGGUUGUUCAAUUUAUUUGAUUC